GUAGCGGCGAGUGAAGCGGCAAAAGCUCAAAUUUGAAAUCUGGCGUCUUUGGCGUCCGAGUUGUAAUUUGAAGAAGGUAUCUUUGGGCCCGGCUCUUGUCUAUGUUCCUUGGAACAGGACGUCACAGAGGGUGAGAAUCCCGUGCGAUGAGAUGACCCGGGUCUGUGUAAAGUUCCUUCGACGAGUCGAGUUGUUUGGGAAUGCAGCUCUAAGUGGGUGGUAAAUUCCAUCUAAAGCUAAAUAUUGGCGAGAGACCGAUAGCGAACAAGUACAGUGAUGGAAAGAUGAAAAGAACUUUGAAAAGAGAGUGAAAAAGUACGUGAAAUUGUUGAAAGGGAAGGGCUUGAGAUCAGACUUGGUAUUUUGCAUGUUGCUCUCUCGGGGGCGGCCGCUGCGGUUUACCGGGCCAGCAUCGGUUUGGAGCGGCAGGAUAAUGGCGGAGGAAUGUGGCACGGCUUCUGCUGUGUGUUAUAGCCUCUGACGAUACUGCCAGCCUAGACCGAGGACUGCGGUUUUUACCUAGGAUGUUGGCAUAAUGAUCUUAAGUCGCCCGUCUUGAAACACGGACCAAGGAGUCUAACGUCUAUGCGAGUGUUUGGGUGUAAAACCCGUACGCGUAAUGAAAGUGAACGAAGGUGGGGGCCCAUUAGGGUGCACCAUCGACCGAUCCUGAUGUGUUCGGAUGGAUUUGAGUAAGAGCAUAGCUGUUGGGACCCGAAAGAUGGUGAACUAUGCCUGAAUAGGGUGAAGCCAGAGGAAACUCUGGUGGAGGCUCGUAGC
rnacentral:rRNA from 1 species